UCUCUGAUGGUCCAGUGGCUAAGACUCUGCACUUCCAGUGCAGGGGGCCCAGGUUCAAUCCCUGGUCAGGGAA